rnacentral:rRNA from 1 species
AACGAACGCUGGCGGCAGGCUUAACACAUGCAAGUCGAGCGCCCCGCAAGGGGAGCGGCAGACGGGUGAGUAACGCGUGGGAAUCUACCCAUCUCUACGGAAUAACGCAUGGAAACGUGUGCUAAUACCGUAUACGUCCUUCGGGAGAAAGAUUUAUCGGAGAUGGAUGAGCCCGCGUUGGAUUAGCUAGUUGGUGGGGUAAAGGCCUACCAAGGCGACGAUCCAUAGCUGGUCUGAGGAUGAUCAGCCACACUGGGACUGAGACACGGCCCAGACUCCUACGGGAGGCAGCAGUGGGGAAUAUUGGACAAUGGGCGCAGGCCUGAUCCAGCCAUGCCGCGUGAGUGAUGAAGGCCCUAGGGUUGUAAAGCUCUUUCACCGGUGAAGAUAAUGACGGUAACCGGAGAAGAAGCCCCGGCUAACUUCGUGCCAGCCGCCGCCGUAAGAC